CUUAUAAAGGUGCACACUGGCACUUGUUAUCACAGACUGCAAGUAACUGCAAGGUUAGGGAAAGAGUGGGGGGUGGAUCCUGAAGGCAGUGGAAGGUAUCUAGCAGAUAGAACUUGGAAGAGGUUCCUACAUUCCCAUGCCUUUCUCAUUGGUUACUCUUUCCUAUCAGGACACUGGUGAUACCAGAACCAUCUACAAUGAAUGUGAGACUCAAGCUGCCUAUAACCAGCCAUGGGUUCAGAACGAAUGGCAAUUAUCCAACUUGGUUCAGAAGCAAGGCAGAGUCUGAGUCCUGCUGUGGAAUGUACAUGUUGUGAAAUUCCAGCACAUUAUGAGAACACAAACUUUUUCUCUUACCAGUGGGAUUUAUCAGCACAGAAUCUUUUACUUGAAGCCAGCAAAAUUUUCAGCGUAGGCAGGAGCAGUGUAAUGAACCUCUGUUCAUGAAUAAAGGCGUUUUUCACCUGCUGAGGCC
rnacentral:lncRNA from 1 species